GGGUGCGAUCAUACCAGCACUAAUGCAUCGGAUCCCAUUAGAACUCCGCAGUUAAGCGUGCUUGGGUGAGAGUAGUACUUAGGAUGGGUGACCCCCUGGGAAGUCCUCGUGUUGGACCCC